AGUGGGUCAAAUGAUCGCGGCUGACAAUACCGAAAGGUGUCAGGUGAGGAAAGUCCGGGCUUCGCAGGGCAGGAUGCCGGAUAACGUCCGGUGGAGGUGACUCCCAGGCCAGUGCAACAGAAAUAAACCGCCGGCUUUGGCCGGUAAGGGUGGAAAGGCAGUGUAAGAGACUACCGCCUGGCUGGUAACAGGCAGGGCACAUGUAAACCCCAUCCGAAGCAAGACCGAAACAAAACCAUGCGGCGGCCCGUCGCGUUUUAGGUAGGUCGCUUGAGGCUGUCGGCAACGGCAGUCCUAGAUAGAUGAUCAUUCACGACAUAACCCGGCUUAUCGAUUCACUCC
rnacentral:RNase_P_RNA from 1 species